AAACAUUGAUAAAAAACAUUUUAUGGAAACCUUAAGCCGCUCAGUAAUCUGUUUGAUAUAACAAUGUAAACAUUUAUAAGAUGUACAGUUAGUGUUCAGAUUGCUUCUGUGUACAUUGUGAAAGCUAAGCAUCCUCCCUCCCUUAUGGCAAUGUAGGUCAUAUUUUCCUCCAACUCUGCCUCUUGAGUGUCUCAGCAUGAAACAAGCCCUGCCCCAUCUCUGGAUGCCACCAAACACAGAGACCUCCAGGGACACACACACACACACACACACACAUUCUGACAGAAGCAACGCCAGGAAGACUUCAGACAUGCUGCCAUACUGCACCACUGUCUGGGACCUCCAUUGCCACCGUAUCCCCAAACCACUGUCCGGCACCACGCCUCAUAGAUCCAGCCUCAGGCCAAGCCAGUCCUGCCCAGCUGUGUGUGAUCCAGAGCAGACCGGCCUGACACCAGUCUGCCCGCCAUCCGCACAAUCCUCUCCGUUCUUCCCAACCUCGCACACACCCUAAUCUCUCUCGUCACCGGUCUCUGGAUGGGAACAUGGGAUUGACGGCGCGCUCGCCGCCUCCGUCCUUGCCGCGGCCAUCUGCUUGGUGAGCCCAAGGAAACCAACGGGAACGAUCCCGUGCGCGUGCCAGCCAGCGCCGGCCGGCCGGCUAGCAUCGUGGCGCCGGUGCGUUCCAAGAACUCUGCGCCGUGCCGCAGGACCUUAACUCACUGUCACGGGGCCGUCCAAUGUGAUUGAUCUGGUCCAUUUAGUCAGAGCGGCCAAGUCUGGAGGAGGCCUGGUCCUCCAGUAGCCCAUCCAGCCCCCCUCAGCCCACUUUAGCCCUGACAUCCCAACUAGCACAACACAAACAGCACAGCGCUGCCAGCUGGCCCACAGGCCUGACAUGCUCUGUCUGCUUUUUAGUUAACACGCCACAGGCCUAAAACCAGGCUUACAUGGCUGUCCACCACUCAAUUCUUUUGGCUCUUCCUAGUGAGGAGUAAUGGAACUGAAAUGAAUCGAUGUUCACGUUUUGAUAUGCUACACGAUAAUGCCAUUCUGUUGGAAAGGAGAAUAGGUUAUCUUAACAGUUCAUUUAAGGCUCGACAGGUUAAAUGCAGUUGCUCCGGACCGUCAAAUGAAUGCUCAAGGAAGAGCUUUUAUCAACUCUAUGAAACGACCCCGAUUCACAAAGUAGAGACGAAUAUGUCCUGGAAAGUAUUCUCAAUCCAUGAAUUAAUGGCAGAUGAAAUACAGUCUACAGGAAACUAAAGAUGUCAUCAGUACACGUGUGUGCAGUUUCAUUUUUAAUUCACAAUAUUAUUUCCUGUUCAUCGUAUUUACGGAUCCCUCUUUCUUUUAUUGGAUAGUCUGUGCUCUGCCUGGCUCAUUCUGGGAAAGAUUUAUUUUAAUGGUUUCAUAGUAACUAAAGGCUUUUAGUUACUGUGAAAAUGAGUCCCCUGGAACGAGAGGCCGUAGCCACAUCCCUUAAUGCAGUUGCUAUUUGCGCUCUGUCUGUAUUACGUCACUUUGAAAUCAGGCAUUUUCAUAAAGCAUAGACUUAAUAAUGCUACCUUUUAACAAGUUCACUGUUAGUUUUGGCGAUGUACCCAAUGCCGGGUUAUAUGAUUCCAACCACAUCACAUGGACUUAUUUUUCUUUUGGACUGCUGAGCGGAAAUCGAUUCUGGAGCUGCCCCAUUUCACUGCGUAAACAGAAAGUUAUUGUAGAUUUACCGUUAAAAGUCAUGUAUAGUUUAUUUGAUUUGUUGAAAUACAUGUGAUGGUUAGCUGAAACAGACAUUGCUUUAAUUGCGAGCAUUGAGGCAAUGCAAAGCAUGUUACUACUUAAAUAAAACCUGUAUUAACUGUAUGUGCCCGAAGUACACUGAGUGAAUUUAGAGAACUCUAGGAAGUUUUUUAGAAAAGUUGACUGUCCUAUCACUUAAAUAUUUAACAAGAGGAGAGCUUUUUUCUCUGAAACAUUUCAGCAUCUUCUUGGUCACUAUAUUUUCUCCUCAUCUCUCUCUCUCUCUCUCUCUCUCUCUCUCUCUCUCUCUCUCUCUCUCUCUCUCUCUCUCUCUCUCCCUUUCGUUCUCUCUCUGCCUGCUAUUUCUGUUUUACUUUUGCUGCAGAAGACAAUCUGUGCAUCGAACAUGGCGUGAAAGGGACAAAAGAGCUAGUUGCUCAUCCAGUUUAUCAACAGACCAACCUCACGGCUCAAUUUACCGUACGGGCAUCCAUAAAGCUUUAUCUAAUCUAAUAGCAUUUUAUUUACUUCAGACUUAAUCCAAAUAUGCUCACACACCCCUGAAUAAAGUGAUAUUUAGCAAACAUUUUAAGCAUGUUUAAAUGUGAACACAAUAGAAAAUGUUUGUAAAUUUUUUUCUUGAAUACAGUUCGCUUACAUUUCCAUGAUUCCCUUGUAGAAUUUGUCCGAAGGGGAGAAAGCCCCCCGUCUGACUGAGGCAGUUGGAGAGCCUGUGAGCUGUCCGAGGACCACCAUGGGAACUUCACUAGUGGGGUUAGCUGGAAAGAUUGUGGGAGAGCAGUGACAGUUGGGGCACUUUUCUCAUGUGAAAAGGGCCCAGCCUUCCCGUAGAAAAACACACCACAACAAACAAAGAGCAUCCGUGACAGCUGAUAAUCUAAAGUUUGAACUUUUUUUAAAAGCAGGGGCAAUCUUUCCUUUUUUGCUUUUCCCCACUUUGGUAAUCCUAUCCAGGUUAAUUAAAGAAUUCUUUUCUUAAUUUCCCAGAAUAUAAUCGUGACAGUCUUACGAGCAGCAAGGUAAGAUGAUCUCAUAUUUUGGUUCGUUGCUGCUAACCGUGUUGCAAAGUAGUUUUAAGCGUGUCUCCAAUGGUGACAUCUCAUCACGCCGCAGUAUGAAAUGGUCCUGAAGUUGAAUGAGACCCAAACAAAAGCGUGAGGGAAUUAGCACAUGCGAGGCACAUUUCCAGAAAGUGUUUAUGUUCUUCUUAAAGCCUUUCUCUGGCAGAAGCGAUUACAUGAACGUCUCCUACUCAUUUGUUUUCAUCUGAACGUUUGGCUGAGGGGUUUAUCCAUCUUGACAAGCACAUAAUGUGGCUUUUGGUGCUGUGAGGGAGAAAAUGAGAGGAAUCGGAGUAGAGUGAGGGGAGGAAUUGUGAAAGUUAAAACAGAGGCUGUAUGGUAGGGUUUUAUCACUUUUCUUGCUCUCCCCUUCCUCUCUGUAACCACAUGCUUAACCCCCCUAAGAUGUGUUAAAAGAUCACAAUAAUCCCCUCGAAAUGACAUUAGUCCUCACUCUCCUCUUUGAGUAGGUGGAAUGCAUCUGAGCCAAAUUACUGAAGACACUCUAGGGUGUUGGGAACGAUGUGAUAAACACAUAAAGUUCCCAAUGUAAUUUGAUUAAGUCUAAAAAGUAUAAAUAUGGUGUCUGCGCAGCAUCCCAUGCUAAGCCAAUUAGAAGCUCUACAGUAAAUUAAUUUGGAAUUUAAUUAAUAAUUUGCGUUAUGGUAAACUUAUAAAAUCCUACACCAUUGGUUCAUAUGAUUUCUUUAGAACUUUCAAAGAUCUUUUCUCAUGCUAUGUUGAAUAGUAUAAUAUACCACACUAGCCAAAACGACCAUAUCUGUAGAUCAGGUCAGAUUAGAAGGAAAAAACAUGACGGACACAAGAAGGAUUACGUCAAAUAGCUCAUUUGGAUUGUCCUCUCAUCUGAACCACUUGGCUACUUGAUGCCAAUUCAUAGAUUAGAACAUCUGGACAAAAUCUCCCUUUACCAGCGGUGCGUGUGGACACAGCACGACAAUGCUUAUUUCUCAUUCGUCAAAUGGGUAAACUGGGAGGCUGGAUUGGAAUUGCUGCAAAGAAAAGUCACUGACUUCUCUGAGGCACAUUUCAGUUAUAGAACACUAAAACAGGAGUGGACAGGAGGGAAUGUAUCUAUCCAUCUGUCUAUCCAUACAUAUAGUGUUGUGAGCCUAACAUUGUUUUAUAUGUAUAUGGGUGGCUGCCUGUUUGCAGAUCCACUUCCCCUGGUGCGGGAAGUGUUGGAUAAUUAGCUGGCUUAUCGGCCUGGGACUCGGGCAGUCUCCCUUCCACUGACAGGUCAUGGAGCCCAGGACCAGCGGGAGGUUGGAGGAGAAGGCAGUGGGAUGAUAAGACCACAGGAGAAGAGACAAGAAGGAGAGAGAGAGAAGGAACUGUGGGGGAGGGCAGAGAGGCAGACAAAACCUGAAGGAGAGAAAUGGGAUGAGGAGCCAGACAGAGGAGCAGAUAAAGAGAUGGAGCAGAUAAAAAGGGGGAGACAGUUAGGCCCCGCAAGGACAGAGCAGCUGCUCCGGCCUAUCAGCGCUUCCACGAGGCCUCGGCACUCAUUAGCAUAAAUUCGAAUGACAAAUGUGGCCCGCUUUGGCAAAGACUAAUUAAUUCACGGAGGGGGAAAACUCACCAGAGUAAGAAUUCAAAUCAUUCAAUGCCACAGGCCUGAGCAAGUGUUAACAGAAAGCGUGCUGAGCUCCAUUGUUUUUGGGAUAUUACAGUGGCCUUAUGUGUUGGGAAAAGGUUACAGCUUUCCUUUGACAUUUGUUUGUAUUUUGUACGUUUGGGUUAGAAUUGGCUUUUUCAGAAUUCAGUAUGAGAGGUCAAUAUUUUUGAAAAGGUUUCAUUCAAAGGACGGUGUUUUUUAAAGCAUGUAUGAGGUGUGCGUGCAUAUAGUGUGGUAUGUGGUUGCGUGUGUGUCGGGACCGUGUGAUUUGGUUGAUUCGCCUGAUGGGUAGAGUUAGUUAUAAUUUCACACACAUACAGGCACACCCCCCCCCCCUACACACACACACAGACACACACUUUAUAAGUCAUAACAAUGGACAGGAAAGCCUGGCUUUGCUCUGAAGUAGAGGCAGGCCACUGCUGGCCUGUUAGACAUAGGGAAAGGAUAAGUGCUCCCCCUUGUGUUCAGCACAUUCUGGUUUCACACACUAUAAUUACACUCUCUAGGACCGUGUGAUUAAGGUAUUAAAAUGACAUUACUCUCCGUCACUAUGGAUACCUGAACAAAGUUUUUCACAUCACAAUUAACCUCUUGCUUUCUUCUCAGCACAAUGACUAUUACCUCAUUUCCAUUACCUUCAAUCUGCCAACAAAGUCUCCUCAACGUCUGUUACAAGCCUAUCGCCCUGAUGUAUGAUCAUUGGUGUUAUACAUUAUACCUUGAUGUAUAUUUAAUCUAUUCAACGUGUUAGCAAGUGGCGCUGAAUGGAGUGGGAGAGAGGGGGUCUAAAUAAGCCAUUUGAAUGAGAUUAAAAAGCGUCUGCUUCAUGCGCAUGCUUGUGUUACUCCUAAAUUAUCAAUGUUUUCAACUUUACAGCAUGUUUAAGUCCAGGUGUUCCUGCAGCAACACAACUGUGUGUGUGUGUGUGUGUGUGUGUGUGUGUGUGUGUGUGUGUGUGUGUGUGUGUGAUAGACACAGCGUGUGCCUGCACAUGUGUGUGUAUUUCUGCAUCAGUGUGUGUACUUGCAUGCUCCUGAGCUAUCAGUCUUGGUCAGGUCCCCGCCUGGGUGCGGGAAGGUUUGUCUCCCCAUGUUGUUGCAGCCUGUGUAAUCAUGGUAUUAAUUAUUAGCUGUUUGCUCUCCAUCAUCCACCUCCCCUGGGGGGCGGGCACCGUGCCUGGCCUGCCAAAGGCUGCC
ensembl:lncRNA